rnacentral:lncRNA from 1 species
GGAUUAACAAAUAGAGAAAACCGAUAUAUCAGGAAAAGACCCAUUAAUGUUCUUACUCUUUCGAAGCACCUGAAUUCAUUCCCGUUUUAUGUGGGAUUCGUCUUGCUCGAUCUUAUUUGUUUCUUUGUGAUUUGUUGUUAUUGUUGUUUUUCUUUCUCUAUUUUUGUAAUUAUUUUUCAUAUGAUUUUUUUUUCUUUUUAUUCUGUUGUCUGAAUUCUUACAUGAUAUCGGUUUCCCCUCGAGUACAUUCUUUCUAUCUU